UUUUCCAUCCUCUUUCCUUCCUCAUGCAGGGAUGGGAUCGCUCAUCCCAUUUUGCCUUUUCCAAGGGGAAUUCCCAAGGGAAUUUCAUCAGUUUUCCAUCAAUUUUCCAUCCUCAUCCAGGGAUGGGAUUGCUCAUCCCGUUAUCUCCCCUACCACACGGUUUUGGCUUUUCCAAGGGGAAUUCCCAAGGGAAUUUCAUCCGUUUUCCAUCAGUUUUCCAUCAGUUUUCCAUCCUCAUCCAGGGAUGGGAUCGCUCAUCCCGUUAUCUCCCCUACCACACAGUUUUGGCUUUUCCAAGGGGAAUUCCCAAGGGAAUUUCAUCAGUUUUCCAUCCUCAUCCAGGGAUGGGAUCGCUCAUCCCAUUUUGCCUUUUCCAAGGGGAAUUCCCAAGGGAAUUUCAUCAGUUUUCCUUCCUCAUCCAGGGAUGGGAUCGCUCAUCCCAUUUUCCGCCCUACUGCAGCUCCUCCAUGGCAGAUAUCCAAUUUUGGGAAGCCAAACCCACACGGUUUUGGUUUUCCCAAGGGGAAUUCCCAAGGGAGAUGCUGGAACCAAACCUGUCGGAAUCCGUGGUAUUGAUGAUUCUGAGAUUGUAAAAACUCUCUGUCCUUCAGCCCCGUUGUGAAAGCAGAAAUCAUAAAUUGUCUGUGCUGGUUUUUAAAGUUGUUUAUUUUUGUUUAUUUUUAACGUGUUCUGCUGCUCUGCCAAAGGUCUGUCCUCAGUGGGAUGUUACAAACAUGAAAUACCAGAAACUCCCUGUGCUGGAUUUACAAUGUAUUUUAUAUAUAUUUAUUUAAUACAUAUAUUUACAUAUAUUUAAAGAUAUAUUUAAAUAUAUAAAAAUAUAUUUAAUAUAUUGCAAUAACGUGCCAAUAUUGAUCACCUACAUUGAUCAGCGUGUCCCCGGCCUAAACCCAGUCCCCAGUUUAAUGUUACAAACAUUAAAUACACAAACUGCAAUAUUUACAAUAAUAUUCCAAUAUUGAUCAGUGUGUCCCCGGCCUAAACCCAGUCCCCAGUUUAAUGUUACAAACAUUAAAUACACAAACUCCCUGUGCAAUAUUUACAAUAAUAUUCCAAUAUUGAUCACCCACAUUGAUCAGUGUGUCCCCAGCCUAAACCCAGUCCCCAGUUUAAUGUUACAAACAUUCAAUACACAAACUCCCUGUGCAAUAUUUACAAUAAUAUUCCAAUAUUGAUCAGCGUGUCCCAGCCAAACCAACAGAAAAAUGCCAACACGCAGUGAGACAUGGAGGGCGAGGAGAAGAAGGAGAAAAGGACAAGGCACACCCAAUUCCCUCCAGCUCGUCCCCUCAUCUAAAAUCCUAAAAUUUUAUUUCCACACCCGUGCCACACUUAAUUAUUAAUUAAUUGAGCGCUGGUAAUUGAUGCAGUGAGGUUGGGAACUCUUUUCCCUGGGCAGAGAUCACAGCCGGGGGCUCGGGGGCUCUGUCCUCACCCCUGAGACCUCCCGGGUCAGCUCUGCAUUCCCACAAUAUUAAAUCUCAUUUUUUCCUCCGUUCCGCACCGACGGCGCCCACCGCGGCAGCAGAAAAUGAGUUUUCCUUCAAAUUCAUUUAGCGCCGCUGAAAGGGCGUCAAUGAGGCGAGCAGAGCGCAGCUGAGGGGAACAUUAAAAACCAAAAAACCCAACCCCAAAAUCAUCUCCCUGCUCCGGCAGCUGCUUUCCAGGGGGGAAAAAAUCGCCAAAAUUUGAGUCGUGCCUGCCGGGAAAAUCGGAAUGCGGCAUCCACGGCUGCAGGGCGGUGCCAGUGAGGAGGGGAUUAACCCCGGGGUGGCGUGAGGAAUGAGGGAAUUAACCCAAAAAAUGAUGUUUUCUCUCUGUGACAUCACCGGCGCGAGAGGAAUUAAAAAUGGGUAAUAAUCACCAGGUUCAAACUCGCACAGGUGGGCCUGGAACAAAAAUAAAAAAAAAGCUCCUUUUGCA
ensembl:lncRNA